rnacentral:rRNA from 1 species
AUUGAACGCUGGCGGCAGGCCUAACACAUGCAAGUCGAGCGGAGGGGCGGAGGGGGGAGUAAUGGCUAGGAAUCUGACAGGUCGUGGGGGAUAACGUCCGGAAACGGGCGCUAAUACCGCAUACUAUCAGAUGAGGCUAGGUCGGGUUAGCUAGUUGGUGGGGGAAAGGCCUACCAAGGCGACGAUCCGUAACUGGUCUGAGAGGAUUAGCAGUCACACUGGAACUGAGACACGGUCCAGACUCCUACGGGAGGCAGCAGUGGGGAAUAUUGGACAAUGGGCGCAAGCCUGAUCCAGCCAUGCCGCGUGUGUGAAGAAGGUCUUCGGAUUGUAAAGCUCUUUUAGUUGGGAGGCGUUACCCACAGAAUAAGCACCGGCUAACUUCGUGCCAGCAGCCGCGGUAAUUC